AGAUUGAACGCUGGCGGCAGGCCUAACACAUGCAAGUCGAGCGGUAGAGAGGUGCUUGCAUCUCUUGAGAGCGGCGGACGGGUGAGUAAUGCCUAGGAAUCUGCCUAGUGGUGGGGGAUAACGUUCGGAAACGGACGCUAAUACCGCAUACGUCCUACGGGAGAAAGCGGGGGACCUUCGGGCCUCGCGCCAUUAGAUGAGCCUAGGUCGGAUUAGCUAGUUGGUGAGGUAAUGGCUCACCAAGGCGACGAUCCGUAACUGGUCUGAGAGGAUGAUCAGUCACACUGGAACUGAGACACGGUCCAGACUCCUACGGGAGGCAGCAGUGGGGAAUAGUU
rnacentral:rRNA from 1 species